UACGUAGGUGGCAAGCGUUGUCCGGAAUUACUGGGUGUAAAGGGCGUGUAGGCGGGUAGAUAAGUCAGAUGUGAAAUUCCGAGGCUCAACCUCGGCGCUGCAUCUGAAACUGUUUAUCUUGAGUAUCGGAGAGGAAAGUGGAAUUCCUAGUGUAGCGGUGAAAUGCGUAGAGAUUAGGAGGAACACCAGUGGCGAAGGCGGCUUUCUGGACGAUUACUGACGCUGAGGCGCGAAAGCGUGGGGAGCGAACAGG
rnacentral:rRNA from 1 species